CCUACGGGAGGCAGCAGUGGGGAAUAUUGCGCAAUGGGCGAAAGCCUGACGCAGCGACGCCGCGUGGGUGAUGAAGGCCUUCGGGUUGUAAAGCCCUGUCGGGAGGGACGAAGUUCUGACGGUACCUCCCAAGAAAGCACCGGCUAACUCCGUGCCAGCAGCCGCGGUAAUACGGAGGGUGCGAGCGUUGCUCGGAAUUAUUGGGCGUAAAGCGUACGCAGGCGGCUCGACAAGUCGAGUGUGAAAUCCCGGGGCUCAACCCCGGACAUGCAUUCGAGACUGCCGAGCUUGAGUGCGGGAGAGGGAAGCGGAAUUCCUGGUGUAGAGGUGAAAUUCGUAGAUAUCAGGAGGAACACCGGUGGCGAAAGCGGCUUCCUGGCCCGACACUGACGCUCAUGUACGAAAGCGUGGGGAGCAAACAGGAUUAGAUACCCCUGUAGUC
rnacentral:rRNA from 1 species